GGCACGGGCACAAAAUCUGGCUAAAACCGACCAGGCCAAGCUGUUGAGGAAUGCUGGGGUUUGGCGUCAGAAGGGAUGGGACCAGAGAGAAGGGUGCGAAGGAGACCCCAGUAGGGGCAGGGCACUGCAGGUAAAGAAGGGGAAGAAGAGGCCCAGAAGUCAAGGGCCAGGCUGUGAAGGAGAAUAAAGGAGGUCAAAGAGAGGUCAUAUCUUCGUACCUCACUUCCUGACACAAACAAGUUUUCACUGUUGUCAGCAACAAAGCCCUAAUAUAGCUGCGGAAGAAAAAAACUGCAUCGCAUUUUGUCUCCUGCAAGCAUCAUCCACAGUUACCGGAGGAAUGUAAUUCCAGAAAGCUUUAAAGCUGGUGGUGAUGGUAAUUAUGUAUCAAAUGCCUGAUUCUAUUUCUGUUAUUAUUAUUUUGUCAUUUCUGUUCUACCCAAGAGCUGGCUGAACUCGCAGAGGUACAAAUCCGGUUUUUCUUUUUGAUUUGAUAAAAUUUAAUCAGACCUGAUAGAGAACUCACUGCUUCUUGGGAAAAAUAAAGUAGGAGCCACGAAAUGUCAUUUUAACAGAGCGUGGGUUUUGUGACUGUAGGAAAGGAUUUAAGGACGCUCCUUCUGUUCGGUUUUCUAUGUAAUGAGCAAAGGCUCCGCGCACGCACAGACGCCGCAGCUCCCGGAUGCUGUGGCUCCCUUAUCUGGGCUUCGGCAGCCCCAGAAGCCCCUCCGGGAUGCUGCGAGGGGCUCUCGGUGGGUGGUGGUACGAAGGCUGCGUCCGCCGCCGUCAGUCCUGCUGCUGUUGUUGCUGCUGCUGCAGUCACGUGGGAGCCCCUUUAAGUUUCCAUAGAGAAGCCUCUCCGGUGUCACAUGAUGGACAUGAUAUAAUGAAACAACGUUGUGGAGAGGAAAGCAUUAGGGGAGCCCACGGCUACGAAAACAAGUGAGUGAGAAGAGGUGGGAGGAAGAGAAACUACGCCACCUCCCCUGCAGCCGGGCCGCACGCAGGAGCAGCCAGCGAGACGGGGGCGACGCCGGGGGGGAGGGGGGACGGAGAGACCGGGUCCUCAGCCCCGGCCUGGGGACCCCGCCGCCCACCUCGGAGACAACAACUUUUAGCCAGCAGCCUCGGCCAGCACUGCACCUGUCUCCCGAGCCUCCAUCGCUCCCCGUGACGAUCAAAGGGAAAUUCUAGAAGAAUAUGCUGUACAAACAUACAUGCGCAUCGUUUUCCCCCUUGCGUCUUGCUCUGGAGGAAGGAAAGAGAAAGGGAUUUAAGCAGCAGCUUGUGUUCAUCCUCAAGCACCGCCGAGCCUCCCUGGAAUGCUGCUGCUACUCAGCUCUUGGAUCGAGGGGUGAAUAGGAUUUUACCUCUCGUUCUCGGGGAAUCUUUUAACAAGUCAGAAGAGUCAGGAUAUUUUACCAUCUGGAGUUUCUCUGCCUGGCUGAUCUAAGCCCAAACCUGCCAGUUUAUGGGAGACAGUAUACUGUAACAGCUGAGUGAAAUUCUGGAAAACUAAUCUAUAGUGACAGAGAGCAGAUCAGUAGUUGCAUGAGGAUGACUUGGGAGAAGAGGAUUCCAAGGAGGGGGCUCAAUGAAACACUGGGGAAAAUUCGACAGAGAUUGAUGGGACACUUGUGUUUGUCUGUCACUCUGAAGUGUCGAGAGAAGGAGGACUCGAAACAUAUAGUGUUGAAAAGGAGGAGAUUGUGGCUAACGUUCCUUUAAGUUAGGAAAGCUUUUGCCUAACAGAACAUAGAUCAUAACAGAUUUCCUUCCAGGAAGACUGCAGAGGUGAAGUGACAUUACCCCAUUGUAUGAAGGGAACGUGAGAGCCACAGGACUCAUCCCUGGGGACGUGCCCCUGAUCACUUGGCCAGCGGAGUGCUAGGCAGGUUCUCCCCAGGAAGUGUGUCCCUGCCCCCUUUCCGUACUCUUUGGAAGUUGCAGAAAUAUCCGCCUCUAAGAACUCAGGAGGACUUAUUUGUGAGAGCAGAGGUAGUGAGUCAUACCUGCAGGCUUGGAAACGAGAAUUCAUUUGCGCCUCUUCAUCCAGUCGGGAGGUUUCCUAGGCAACCAUUUAUGCAGUAAUUAAAAGACAAGAAACUAAGAGGAGAAAAGUGGAAGAAAUAGACACUCUUAAUGGAAUGGAAUAAACCACUGAACAGGACGGGUCCGGCUGGUGCGCAGGGAUCCUCCGUGUGACUGCUUGGUGGCGGCUUGGCCUCUGAGGGGCGAACACGAAACGGCCCACACGUUCACAGGAAGCCGGUCAGAGUGCAUGGACGGCCCAGGGGAGCCCGAGGGUCCGGAUGGGUUCUCAGGCCCUUCCAGCUGUGGAGAGGAGCCCGGCACAUCUCCCGAAGCUCCCGCAGCCGUCCCGGCCUCGGCAGAGGAAGCGCCGCUCUCGGCCCCGGAGGACAUGUGCCCAGCAUCUCCCGGACGACCGCACAGUGGACACCGCACCGUCUCAGGUUCCGGUGCCUCGCAGAAGAUCCCGGGGCCGGCUCCUCGCCCUGUGUCUUUGCAGGUGCUCGUCUUGCUUCCUCAUCGGUUCCCUGCUGACAUCGCCUCAUUCUCUGAUUCUCCGCAGGUUUCUUCACCGAGGGGAAUGCUCUGGCUCCAUCCUGCAGACUCGGCCACUGAUGCUGCGAUGCAGCAGCGCCUACAGAGGGAUGCAGGGGCCCGGAGGGAGUCGCACGGUCAGUGAAAUGGUUAUCCGAGGGCCUGUGCCGCCUCUGGCCCCGCUCUGCGCCGGAUCCGAGUGCUCACGUCUCCCGCCAAACAGUUAACUGCCUGUCAGUUCGCGAGGGUGUGGUUUCUGUGCAGCGACGGGCUGUCGCAUCUGCAACAAAGUGACUGCCACACGUGUCUGUCCC